rnacentral:rRNA from 1 species
AGCUAGCGCCUGAGGAUGAGCCUGCGUCUCAUUAGCUAGUUGGUAGGGUAAUGGCCUACCAAGGCGACGAUGGGUAGCCGGCCUGAGAGGGUGAGCGGCCACACUGGGACUGAGAUACGGCCCAGACUCCUACGGGAGGCAGCAGUGAGGAAUAUUGCGCAAUGGCCGAAAGGUUGACGCAGCGACGCCGCGUGAGGGAUGAAGCUUUUAGGAGUGUAAACCUCUGUUAGGAGGGAAGAAUAAUGGCAAUUCGAACAGGGUUGUCAGAUGACGGUACCUCCAGAGGAAGCCCCGGCUAACUCCGUGCCAGCAGCCGCGGUAAUACGGGGGGGGCUAGCGUUGUCCGGAAUUACUGGGCGUAAAGGGCGCGUAGGCGGGAUAGCAAGUCAGUGGUGCAAACUUGAGGCUUAACUUCAAGCUUGCCAUUGAUACUGUUAUUCUUGAGUUCGGCAGAGGGAAGUGGAAUUCCUGGUGUAGCGGUGAAAUGCGUAGAUAUCAGGAAGAACACCGGUGGCGAAGGCGGCUUCCUGGUCCGAUACUGACGCUGAGGCGCGAAAGCGUGGGGAGCGAACAGGAUUAGAUACCCUGGUAGUCCACGCUGUAAACGAUGGGUACUAGGUGUUGGUUGUAAUGAUCAGCGCCGGAGCAAACGCAUUAAGUACCCCGCCUGGGGAAUACGGUCGCAAGACUGAAACUCAAAGGAAUUGACGGGGGCCCGCACAAGCGGUGGAGCAUGUGGUUUAAUUCGAUGCAACGCGAAGAACCUUACCUGGGCUUGAACUGCAGGUGCUAUCUCCUGAAAGGGAGUUUCCUUCGGGACGCCUGUAGAGGUGCUGCAUGGCUGUCGUCAGCUCGUGCUGUGAGGUGUUGGGUUAAGUCCCGCAACGAGCGCAACCCCUGUCCCUAGUUGCCAUCAGGUCAAGCUGGGAACUCUAGGGGGACUGCCCCGGAUAACGGGGAGGAAGGUGGGGAUGACGUCAAGUCAUCAUGGCCACUUACGUCCAGGGCUACACACGUGCUACAAUGGCCGGUACAACGGGUAGCGAGACAGCGAUGUGGAGCAAAUCCACUUAAAACCGGUCUCAGUUCAGAUUGCAGUCUGCAACCCGACUGCAUGAAGUUGGAAUCGCUAGUAAUCGCGGAUCAGCAUGCCGCGGUGAUACGUUCCCGGG